rnacentral:rRNA from 1 species
GAUGAACGCUGGCGGCGUGCCUAAUACAUGCAAGUCGAGCGAACGGACGAGAAGCUUGCUUCUCUGAUGUUAGCGGCGGACGGGUGAGUAACACGUGGAUAACCUCCCUAUAAGACUGGGAUAACUUCGGGACACCGGAGCUUAUCCCGGAUAAUAUUUUGAACCGCAUGGUUCAAAAGUGAAAGACGGUCUUGCUGUCACUUAUAGAUGGAUCCGCGCUGCAUUAGCUAGUUGGUACGGUAACGGCUUAUCACGGGAACGAUGCAUAGCCGACCUGAGAGGGUGAUCGGCCGCACGGGAACGGAGACACGGUCCAGACGCCUACGGGAGGCAGCAGUAGGGAAUCUUCCGCAAUGGGCGAAAGCCUGACGGAGCAACGCCGCGUGAGUGAUGAAGGUCUUCGGAUCGUAAAACUCUGUUAUGAGGGAAGAACAUAUGUGUAAGUAACUGUGCACAGCUUGACGGUACCUAAUCAGAAAGCCACGGCUAACUACGUG